AGAGUUUGAUUAUGGCUCAGGAUGAACGCUAGCUACAGGCUUAACACGUGCAAGGUCAGGGGCAGCAUGAGAUUAGCUUGCUAAUCUUGAUGGCGACCGGCGCACGGGUGAGUAACGCGUAUCCAACCUUCCCGUUAGUAGGGCAUAGCCGGCGAAAGUCGGAUUUAAUACCCUAUGUUGUAUAUUGAGGACAUCUGAUUUAUACUAAAGAUUUAUCGCUAAGGGAUGGGGAUGCGUCUGAUUAGGUGGUAGGCGGGUAACGGCCCACCUAGCCGACGAUCAGUAGGGGUUCUGAGAGGAAGGUCCCCCACAUUGGUACUGAGACACGGACCAAACUCCUACGGGAGGCAGCAGUGAGGAAUAUUGGUCAAUGGGCGCGAGCCUGAACCAGCCAAGUAGCGUGCAAGGAUGACGGCCCUAUGGGUUGUAAACUGCUUUUAUGCGGGGAUAAAGUGCGCCACGUGUGGCGUUUUGUAGGUACCGCAUGAAUAAGGACCGGCUAAUUCCGUGCCAGCCGCUGC
rnacentral:rRNA from 1 species